rnacentral:rRNA from 1 species
GACGAACGCUGGUGGCGUGCUUAACACAUGCCAGUCGAACGGGAUUUAGUAAACAGAAGCCUCGGUGGAAGAUUACUAAUGAGAGUUGCGAACGGGUGAGUAACGCGUGAGCAACCUGCCUAUGACAGUGGGAUAGCCUCGGGACACCGUGAUUAAUACCGCAUCAAAUCGUAGAAACACAUGUUUUAACGGUCAAAGAUUUAUCGGUCAUAGAUGGGCUCGCGUCUGAUUAGCUAGUUGGUGAGAUAACAGCCCACCAAGGAGACGAUCAGUAGCCGGUAUGAGAGGAGGAACGGUCACAUUGGAACUGAGACACGGUCCAAACUCCUACGGGAGGCAGCAGUGGGGAAUAUAGCACAAUGGGGGAAACCCUGAUGCAGCGACGCCGCGUGAACGAAGAAGGUAUUCGUAUCGUAAAGUUGUGUCCUAUGGGAAGAUAAUGACAGUACCAUAGAAGAAAGCUCCGGCUAAAUACGUG